GUGUUUGCGGGCGUGGCAUCAUCAAGAUUCACAUCCGUCGCAUCCAGGGAUCACUCUGUUUCCGAAACGAAACAGCAAUCGGCAUGUAGAUGCGCAUGGGAAUCUUGAUGAUGCUGCAUCCGCACACAA
rfam:Hordeum vulgare subsp. vulgare, WGS project CAJW01000000 data, contig: morex_contig_1561881